GAUGAAGAACGUAGCGAAAUGCGAUAAGUAAUGUGAAUUGCAGAAUUCAGUGAAUCAUCGAAUCUUUGAACGCACAUUGCGCCCGACAGUAUUCUGGCGGGCAUGCCUGUUCGAGCGUCAUUUCAACCAUCAAGCCCCAGGCUUGUGUUGGGGACCUGCGGCUGCCGCAGGCCCUGAAAACCAGUGGCGGGCUCGCUGUCACACCGGGCGUAGUAGAUUUUAUCUCGCUCAGGGCGUGCUACGGGUUCCGGCCGUUAAAAAGCCUUUUUUACCCAGGGUUGACCUCGGAUCAGGUAGGAAGACCCGCUGAACUUAAGCAUAUCAAUAAGCGGAGGA
rnacentral:misc_RNA from 1 species